AGAACAUUUGCUCUUUUUCUGUUGCAAGUCUUCUGCACUUCUUGAACAUACCAUGCCCAUGCCUGUCUGCCCUGUGUUUUGGACAGAGGCCGUCUAAAUAGCCAUGAAAGAGAUGGAUCUGAUAUUCAGAAGUGUAGUGAGCAGGAUGGCAUCUCUAGUGAUCCACAUUACACAGAUUGCAGAGACUGGGAAGAAAAAGGGACUUGGACAGUGCAGAAUCUGAAAUCUUGGAUUCAGCUGAAGCUGCCAUUGGGAGGAGGAUCUUUCAACAGUUGUGUGGUUCCUGACUUAUGGCGACCCCAUCAUGGGGUUUUCUUGGCGAGACUGGUUCAAAGGAGGUUUGCCAUUGCCUUCCCAUGAGGCAGCACAUACAUAAGCACCUUAAUAAAUCCCAUUGAUUCUAGUCUCUUAAUGGGACUAGCAGUUGGAUUUAGACCUAAAACUGCAGGGAUGGAUUUACUGGGCUACAUUUAAGGACUUCUCCUUGAGCAGUUAGAGCUAAGGAGUGUCAUGAUGUAUACCUGUACUUCAGAAUUAACCAUUGCACUACUAUCCCCUUCCCCACCACCUCUCCCUCCUCCUUUUGUGUCAUGUCUUUUUAGAUUGUAAGCCUGCGGGCAGG